GAGGAUCAUUACCGAGUUUACAACUCCCAAACCCAUGUGAACAUACCUAUUGUUGCUUCGGCGGGAUUGCCCCGGGCGCCUCGUGUGCCCCGGAUCAGGCGCCCGCCUAGGAACUUUAACUCUUGUUUUAUUUUGAAUCUUCUGAGUAGUUUUUACAAAUAAAUAAAAACUUUCAACAACGGAUCUCUUGGUUCUGGCAUCGAUGAAGAACGCAGCGAAAUGCGAUAAGUAAUGUGAAUUGCAGAAUUCAGUGAAUCAUCGAAUCUUUGAACGCACAUUGCGCCCGCCAGUAUUCUGGCGGGCAUGCCUGUCUGAGCGUCAUUUCAACCCUCAUGCCCCUAGGGCGUGGUGUUGGGGAUCGGCCAAAGCCCGCGAGGGACGGCCGGCCCCUAAAUCUAGUGGCGGACCCGUCGUGGCCUCCUCUGCGAAGUAGUGAUAUUCCGCAUCGGAGAGCGACGAGCCCCUGCCGUUAAACCCCCAACUUUCCAAGGUUGACCUCAGAUCAGGUAGGAAUACCCGCUGAACUUAAGCAUAUCAAUAG
rnacentral:rRNA from 1 species